GACUGCGUAGCUCAGUUAGCAGAGCAUUGGGCUAGUAUUCCAAAGGUCGUAGGUUCGAUUCCCACCGUGGUCA
rnacentral:tRNA from 1 species